GAUGAACGCUAGCGGCAGGCUUAACACAUGCAAGUCGAGGGGUAGGAGAAGCUUGCUUUUCUGAGACCGGCGCACGGGUGCGUAACGCGUAUGCAAUCUACCUUUCACAGAGGGAUAGCCCAGAGAAAUUUGGAUUAAUACCUUAUAGUAUAAUUGAAUGGCAUCAUUUAAUUAUUAAAGAUUUAUCGGUGAAAGAUGAGCAUGCGUCCCAUUAGCUAGUUGGUAUGGUAACGGCAUACCAAGGCAACGAUGGGUAGGGGUCCUGAGAGGGAGAUCCCCCACACUGGUACUGAGACACGGACCAGACUCCUACGGGAGGCAGCAGUGAGGAAUAUUGGACAAUGGGCGCAAGCCUGAUCCAGCCAUGCCGCGUGCAGGAUGACGGUCCUAUGGAUUGUAAACUGCUUUUAUACAGGAAGAAACACUCCCUCGUGAGGGAGCUUGACGGUACUGUAAGAAUAAGGAUCGGCUAACUCCGUGCCAGCAGCCGCGGUAAUACGGAGGAUCCAAGCGUUAUCCGGAAUCAUUGGGUUUAAAGGGUCCGUAGGCGGUCAGGUAAGUCAGUGGUGAAAGCCCAUCGCUCAACGGUGGAACGGCCAUUGAUACUGUCUGACUUGAAUUAUUAGGAAGUAACUAGAAUAUGUAGUGUAGCGGUGAAAUGCUUAGAGAUUACAUGGAAUACCAAUUGCGAAGGCAGGUUACUACUAAUUGAUUGACGCUGAUGGACGAAAGCGUGGGUAGCGAACAGGAUUAGAUACCCUGGUAGUCCACGCCGUAAACGAUGGAUACUAGCUGUUGGGAGCAAUCUCAGUGGCUAAGCGAAAGUGAUAAGUAUCCCACCUGGGGAGUACGAACGCAAGUUUGAAACUCAAAGGAAUUGACGGGGGCCCGCACAAGCGGUGGAGCAUGUGGUUUAAUUCGAUGAUACGCGAGGAACCUUACCAAGGCUUAAAUGUAGAUUGACCGGUUGGAAACAGACU
rnacentral:rRNA from 1 species